AAAAAUACGUUAACUUUACAUUCAACUUUCUAUAUAUAGUUGAUUAUCAAUAAUACAAACGCGCUCGUAUUAUCAUCAAAGUAAGGAAUUGAACAUCGACAUAUGUUUUUAAUUAAAAAAAAAAAAGAAAGAUUAUAUCAAUAGGCAUAAAAGUUAAUGGACUCGACCUUAAUACCAAUCAAUCACUUAUAAAAAAAAAA
rnacentral:lncRNA from 1 species